rfam:Ectothiorhodospira sp. PHS-1 contig046, whole genome shotgun sequence.
AGGCUCAGUCCCCGGGCGAGUCAGCACAAGGUGACGAAGCCCAUCAGGUGCAGGGGAUAGGGUAAAUGCGGCGGUUGUGCACUGAAAGUUCAUGUU